rnacentral:rRNA from 1 species
AUUGAACGCUGGCGGCAUGCCUUACACAUGCAAGUCGAACGGCAGCACGGGGCAACCUGGUGGCGAGUGGCGAACGGGUGAGUAAUGCAUCGGAACGUGCCAUUGAGUGGGGGAUAACGUAGCGAAAGUUGCGCUAAUACCGCAUAUUCUGUGAGCAGGAAAGCAGGGGACCGCAAGGCCUUGCGCUCUUUGAGCGGCCGAUGUCAGAUUAGCUAGUUGGUGAGGUAAAGGCUUACCAAGGCGACGAUCUGUAGCGGGUCUGAGAGGAUGAUCCGCCACACUGGAACUGAGACACGGUCCAGACUCCUACGGGAGGCAGCAGUGGGGAAUUUUGGACAAUGGGGGCAACCCUGAUCCAGCCAUGCCGCGUGAGUGAAGAAGGCCUUCGGUUGGUUAAAGACGUCUUUCGGUCCGGGAACGGAAA